GGUCAGGACGAACGCUGGCGGCGUGCCUAACACAUGCAAGUCGAACGGAGAGCAUAUGAAGUAUUCGGUACGGAAUGCGUUCUAGUGGCGAACGGGUGAGUAACACGUGGGCAACCUGCCCCAGACUGGGGGAUAACAUUGUGAAAACAGUGCUAAUACCGCAUGACAGGGUUCCGGGCAUCCGGGACUCUUGAAAGGAGAAAUCCGGUCAGGGAUGGGCCCGCGUCCAAUUAGCUAGUUGGUGGGGUAACGGCCCACCAAGGCGACGAUUGGUAGCCGAACUGAGAGGUUGAUCGGCCACAUUGGGACUGAGACACGGCCCAGACUCCUACGGGAGGCAGCAGUGGGGAAUAUUGGGCAAUGGGCGAAAGCCUGACCCAGCGACGCCGCGUGAAGGAUGAAGGUCUUCGGAUUGUAAACUUCUUUGAUCAGGGAAGAAAGAAAUGACGGUACCUGAAAAACAAGCCACGGCUAACUACGUGCCAGCCGCGGC
rnacentral:rRNA from 1 species